rnacentral:rRNA from 1 species
AUGGGCGGGGUGUUGAGCGCGCUGUUGGGCGGCCACCGGCGGAGAGCGGCCGAGGCGAGGAGGAUGACGAUGUCGAGGAGCGGUGAGCCGUCGGGACACGGCCGUGGCGGAGGCGGCGAGCAGCGGCGGAGGGCGAUGCUGUCCAAGAAGUACUCGUACAUACCGGACACCUUCACCUCCCUCGACCAGGUGGCUUCGGCGCUGCGAGAUCAGGGCCUCGAGUCGUCCAACCUCAUCCUCGGGGUGGACUUCACCAAGAGCAACGAAUGGACGGGGAAGCGGUCGUUCAACGGGCAGAGCCUGCACAAGCUGGGCGACGCGCCCAACCCUUACGAGGCGGCCAUCAGCAUCAUCGGCAAGACGCUCGCCCCCUUCGACGAGGACAACCUCAUCCCCUGCUUCGGCUUCGGCGACGCGACCACGCACGACUACAACGUCUUCAGCUUCCACCCCGACAACUCGCCGUGCCACGGCUUCGAGGAGGUCCUGGCAUGCUACCGGAACGUCGUGCCGCACCUCAGGCUAUCAGGGCCGACGUCCUUCGCACCGAUCGUGGAAGCCGCCGUCGACAUCGUGGACAGGACCGGAGGCCAGUACCAUGUCCUCGUCAUCGUCGCCGACGGCCAGGUCACUAGGAGUGUUGAUACAAGUGAGGGCGAUCUAAGCCCGCAGGAGCGAAGAACCGUCGACUCCAUUGUCAUGGCCAGUUCGUAUCCCUUGUCCAUCGUGCUGGUCGGGGUCGGGGAUGGCCCAUGGGAGGACAUGCAGAAGUUCGACGACAAGCUCCCCGCGCGCGCCUUCGACAACUUCCAGUUUGUCAACUUCACGUCCAUCAUGUCGAGGAACGCGACGCUGCAGCAGAAGGAGUCGGCGUUCGCGCUGGCGGCGCUCAUGGAGGUGCCCAUCCAGUACAAGGCCACCAUGGAGCUCGGCAUCCUAGGCCGGUCCACGGGGAAGGCCAAGAGGGUCGUCCCGGCCCCGCCCCCGCUGCCGGCGUCGUCGUCGUUGAGGCGGGAAGCUAGCAGCGCGAACGCCGCCGCGGCGGAGCCAAGAGAGGAUCAGGUGUGCCCAAUCUGCUUGACCAAUGCCAAAGAUCUAGCGUUUGGCUGCGGCCACAUGUGUUGCAGGGAGUGUGGGGAGAACCUCGACAGAUGCCCGAUAUGCCGAGAGACAAUACGCUCCAAGCUGAGGCUGUACACGGGAUGA